CAGUCGAGCGACAGAUAAGGAGCUUGCUCCUUUGAAGUUAGCGGCGGACGGGUGAGUAACACGUGGGUAACCUACCUAUAAGACUGGGAUAACUUCGGGAAACCGGAGCUAAUACCGGAUAACAUUUAGAACCGCAUGGUUCUAAAGUGAAAGAUGGUUUUGCUAUCACUUAUAGAUGGACCCGCGCCGUAUUAGCUAGUUGGUAAGGUAACGGCUUACCAAGGCGACGAUACGUAGCCGACCUGAGAGGGUGAUCGGCCACACUGGAACUGAGACACGGUCCAGACUCCUACGGGAGGCAGCAGUAGGGAAUCUUCCGCAAUGGGCGAAAGCCUGACGGAGCAACGCCGCGUGAGUGAUGAAGGGUUUCGGCUCGUAAAACUCUGUUAUUAGGGAAGAACAAAUGUGUAAGUAACUGUGCACAUCUUGACGGUACCUAAUCAGAAAGCCACGGCUAACUACGUGCCAGCAGCCGCGGUAAUACGUAGGUGGCAAGCGUUAUCCGGAAUUAUUGGGGCGUAAAGCGCGCGUAGGCGGUUUCUUAAGUCUGAUGUGAAAGCCCACGGCUCAACCGUGGAGGGUCAUUGGAAACUGGGAAACUUGAGUGCAGAAGAGGAAAGUGGAAUUCCAUGUGUAGCGGUGAAAUGCGCAGAGAUAUGGAGGAACACCAGUGGCGAAGCGACUUUCUGGUCUGUAACUGACGCUGAUGUGCGAAAGCGGUGGGGAUCAAACAGGAUUAGAUACCCUGGUAGUCCACGCCGUAAACGAUGA
rnacentral:rRNA from 1 species